CACACAGCUAUGACCUCAUCCCUGCAGGGUAUGAAAGGCAGCCACACACUGAGAGGGUUCUAAGUCCUGUAACAUCUUCAGGAAUGUGCCCAUGCAAGUCAUCGCUGCCUAAGGUCUGGCCCUUUGGACCCAGCCACCAUCCUUCUAAGCUGGUGGUCUGCCUUCUCCAUAACACAGCGUACCAGUGCCCCAUGAAGCACCAUAAACACCAGCAUGUAUGCGAUAGCCACAUGGGGUCCGGGAGCUGUCCCACGUAUAGGGGAUGUAAGAACUGGUGCCUGUACAGGUGCCCUCUGUGCCACCCCAAAGACUAAAGUCAUCAUAAAAAACUGAAGCGGUCAGAAGAGCAGAUAUUUGACAUAGACAAAAAACAAGGAAGGAACUGGGACCCCUCAUACCCAACGUGAUGUCUGAAUGGUGGAGCUGAGUAAGAGUAACACUUCUGACCUUACGUAUCAAGAUGAUCCUUCAGUGGCAUACAGCAUUCAGACCCUGUUACUAGGGACAACUCCUAAGGCAUAGAAUUAAAGGCACAAAUCAAAGUCCA